rnacentral:tRNA from 1 species
ACCACUCUAUUUAUAUUGAUUUUUUAAUAAGUUAUUUAUUUUAUGCUCUUAUUUUGUUUACAUUCUAUUACAUU